rnacentral:rRNA from 1 species
GACGAACGCUGGCGGCGUGCUUAACACAUGCAAGUCGAACGGAAAGGCCCUGCUUUUGUGGGGUGCUCGAGUGGCGAACGGGUGAGUAACACGUGAGUAACCUGCCCUUGAUUUUGGGAUAACUUCAGGAAACUGGGGCUAAUACCGGAUAGGAGCUCCUGCUGCAUGGUGGGGGUUGGAAAGUUUCGGCGGUUGGGGAUGGACUCGCGGCUUAUCAGCUUGUUGGUGGGGUAGUGGCUUACCAAGGCUUUGACGGGUAGCCGGCCUGAGAGGGUGACCGGCGACAUUGGGACUGAGAUAAGGCCCAGACUGCUACGGGAGGCAGCAGUGGGGAAUAUUGCACAAUGGGCGGAAGCCUGAUGCAGCAACGCCGCGUGCGGGAUGACGGCCUUCGGGUUGUAAACAGAUUUCGCAUGUGACGAAGCGUGAGUGACGGUAAUGGGUAAAGAAGCACCGGCUAACUACGUG